rnacentral:pre_miRNA from 1 species
AGGAGGAACAACCCCAGUGGCGGCAGCCAGCUCUGGAGCCCUGGAGUCAGCCCCCGCAGUAGCUCCAGAGCUCUCCGUCUGCAGGGCCUGGAGGCUCCGGGGCGGG